rnacentral:rRNA from 1 species
AACAGGAUUAGAUACCCUGGUAGUCCACGCCCUAAACGAUGUCUACUAGUUGUUGGUGGAGUAAAAUCCGUGAGUAACGCAGCUAACGCGUGAAGUAGACCGCCUGGGGAGUACGGUCGCAAGAUUAAAACUCAAAUGAAUUGACGGGGGCCCGCACAAGCGGUGGAUUAUGUGGAUUAAUUCGAUGCAACGCGAAAAACCUUACCUGGCCUUGACAUGUAACGAACUUUCCAGAGAUGGAUUGGUGCUCGAAAGAGAACGUUAACACAGGUGCUGCAUGGCUGUCGUCAGCUCGUGUCGUGAGAUGUUGGGUUAAGUCCCGCAACGAGCGCAACCCUUGCCAAUAAUUGCCAUCAUUUAGUUGGGCACUUUAUUGGGACUGCCGAUGACAAAUCGGAGGAAGGUGGGGAUGACGUCAAGUCCCCAUGGCCCUUAUGGCCAGGGCUUCACACGUAAUACAAUGGUCGGUACAGAGGGUUGCCAAGCCGCAAGGUGGAGCCAAUCCCAGAAAGCCGAUCGUAGUCCGGAUUGAGGUCUGCAACUCGACCUCAUGAAGUCGGAAUCGCUAGUAAUCGCGGAUCAGCAUGUCGCGGUGAAUACGUUCCCGGGCCUUGUACACACCGCCCGUCACACCAUGGGAGUGGGUUUUACCAGAAGUAGGUAGUCUAACCGCAAGGAGGACGCUUACCACGGUAGUAUUCAUGACUGGGGUGAAGUCGUAACAAGGUAACC